rnacentral:rRNA from 1 species
UGCAAGUCGAACGCGUUGGCCCAAUUGAUUGAUGGUGCUUGCACCUGAUUGAUUUUGGUCGCCAACGAGUGGCGGACGGGUGAGUAACACGUAGGUAACCUGCCCAGAAGCGGGGGACAACAUUUGGAAACAGAUGCUAAUACCGCAUAACAGCGUUGUUCGCAUGAACAACGCUUAAAAGAUGGCUUCUCGCUAUCACUUCUGGAUGGACCUGCGGUGCAUUAGCUUGUUGGUGGGGUAACGGCCUACCAAGGCGAUGAUGCAUAGCCGAGUUGAGAGACUGAUCGGCCACAAUGGGACUGAGACACGGCCCAUACUCCUACGGGAGGCAGCAGUAGGGAAUCUUCCACAAUGGGCGCAAGCCUGAUGGAGCAACACCGCGUGAGUGAAGAAGGGUUUCGGCUCGUAAAGCUCUGUUGUUAAAGAAGAACACGUAUGAGAGUAACUGUUCAUACGUUGACGGUAUUUAACCAGAAAGUCACGGCUAACUACGUGCCAGCAGCCGCGGUAAUACGUAGGUGGCAAGCGUUAUCCGGAUUUAUUGGGCGUAAAGAGAGUGCAGGCGGUUUUCUAAGUCUGAUGUGAAAGCCUUCGGCUUAACCGGAGAAGUGCAUCGGAAACUGGAUAACUUGAGUGCAGAAGAGGGUAGUGGAACUCCAUGUGUAGCGGUGGAAUGCGUAGAUAUAUGGAAGAACACCAGUGGCGAAGGCGGCUACCUGGUCUGCAACUGACGCUGAGACUCGAAAGCAUGGGUAGCGAACAGGAUUAGAUACCCUGGUAGUCCAUGCCGUAAACGAUGAGUGCUAGGUGUUGGAGGGUUUCCGCCCUUCAGUGCCGGAGCUAACGCAUUAAGCACUCCGCCUGGGGAGUACGACCGCAAGGUUGAAACUCAAAGGAAUUGACGGGGGCCCGCACAAGCGGUGGAGCAUGUGGUUUAAUUCGAAGCUACGCGAAGAACCUUACCAGGUCUUGACAUCUUGCGCCAACCCUAGAGAUAGGGCGUUUCCUUCGGGAACGCAAUGACAGGUGGUGCAUGGUCGUCGUCAGCUCGUGUCGUGAGAUGUUGGGUUAAGUCCCGCAACGAGCGCAACCCUUGUUACUAGUUGCCAGCAUUAAGUUGGGCACUCUAGUGAGACUGCCGGUGACAAACCGGAGGAAGGUGGGGACGACGUCAGAUCAUCAUGCCCCUUAUGACCUGGGCUACACACGUGCUACAAUGGACGGUACAACGAGUCGCGAACUCGCGAGGGCAAGCAAAUCUCUUAAAACCGUUCUCAGUUCGGACUGCAGGCUGCAACUCGCCUGCACGAAGUCGGAAUCGCUAGUAAUCGCGGAUCAGCAUGCCGCGGUGAAUACGUUCCCGGGCCUUGUACACACCGCCCGUCACACCAUGAGAGUUUGUAACACCCAAAGUCGGUGGGGUAACCUUUAGGAGCCAGCCGCCUAA